rnacentral:rRNA from 1 species
GAUGAACGCUGGCGGCGUGCCUAAUACAUGCAAGUCGAGCGAACAGACGAGGAGCUUGCUCCUCUGACGUUAGCGGCGGACGGGUGAGUAACACGUGGAUAACCUACCUAUAAGACUGGGAUAACUUCGGGAAACCGGAGCUAAUACCGGAUAAUAUAUUGAACCGCAUGGUUCAAUAGUGAAAGACGGUUUUGCUGUCACUUAUAGAUGGAUCCGCGCCGCAUUAGCUAGUUGGUAAGGUAACGGCUUACCAAGGCAACGAUGCGUAGCCGACCUGAGAGGGUGAUCGGCCACACUGGAACUGAGACACGGUCCAGACUCCUACGGGAGGCAGCAGUAGGGAAUCUUCCGCAAUGGGCGAAAGCCUGACAGAGCAACGCCGCGUGAGUGAUGAAGGUCUUCGGAUCGUAAAACUCUGUUAUUAGGGAAGAACAAAUGUGUAAGUAACUAUGCACGUCUUGACGGUACCUAAUCAGAAAGCCACGGCUAACUACGU